AGAGUUUGAUCAUGGCUCAGAUUGAACGCUGGCGGCAUGCUUAAUACAUGCAAGUCGAACGGUAACAGAUUCUUCGGAAUGCUGACGAGUGGCGGACGGGUGAGUAAUACAUAGGAAUCUGCCCAUGUAGUGGGGGACAACUUGGGGAAACUCAAGCUAAUACCGCAUAAUUCCUACGGGAUAAAGAGGGCCACUGCUUGCAAGCUCUUGCUACUGGAUGAGCCUAUGUCGGAUUAGUUAGUUGGUAAGGUAAUGGCUUACCAAGACAGCGAUCCGUAGCCGGUUUGAGAGGAUGAUCAGCCACACUGGGACUGAGACACGGCCCAGACUCCUACGGGAGGCAGCAGUAGGGAGUAUUGGACAAUGGGCGCAAGCCUGAUCCAGCAAUGCCGCGUGUGUGAAGAAGGCCUGCGGGUUGUAAAGCACUUUCAAUUGGGAAGAAAGAUUAUGAGUUAAUACCUUAUAAUAUUGACG
rnacentral:rRNA from 1 species